UGAGCGUGAAGAGGAUACUCACAAAGUUUAGAACACAUGUCUCACAAACACGUCGCCAUUAGUUUAAACCACAUUACUAGACACUGAACCCCUGAGACGGUUUCCCGGGAAUAGUCAGGCCCAUAAAUAUUUGGACAGUGUAUCUACCCCCACCCAGUUCAAGGGGUUACAAAAAAUAUAAUGAAAA